rnacentral:rRNA from 1 species
GAAAUUCGCCUGUAUGAAGCCGGAAUUGCUAGUAAUGGCAGGUCAGCAUACUGCCGUGAAUACGUUCCCGGGCCUUGUACACACCGCCCGUCACACCAUGAGAGUUGGGGAUACCCAAAGCCCGUGAGCCAACUAUAAAGAGGCAGCGGUCUAAGGUAGAAUCAAUGAUUGGGGUGAAGUCGUAACAAGGUAUC